rnacentral:sRNA from 1 species
UCACUGAGAUAUGUUUCAUCGUAAUUGA